UUCUCUACCAGUAAUUUGUAUAAUUGGAAACUGCAGAACCCCCCCCCCCCCUUCUCUGAGAAACCCAGUAAACUUAUAGACUUGUUGGAUUCAGUCCUUUUCACCCACCAGCCCACCUGGGAUGACUGCCAUCAGCUUUUACAGGUUCUCUUCACUACUGAAGAGAGAGUCCUGAAUGAAGCCCAGAAAGUAGUCCCAGGGGUUGAUGGGAGACCUACCACGGAUUUAAAUAUUAUAAACAUCAGAUUCCCCUCGAGUAGGCCCAACUGGGACUUCAAUAUGGACGAAGGUAAGGAGAGGCUCACUGUCUACCACCAGAUUCUGAUGGGGGGUCUCCAGGUGGCAGCAUGCCAUCCCACCAAUUUGUCUAAAGUAAGUCAGGUGAAACAGGAGCCCAUAGAACCUCCUGGAACUUUCCUUGAGAGACUGCUGGAAGCCUACAGGACCUACACUCCCCUGGACCCAGAAGCUGCUGAAAACCGGUCCGCACUUACCGCUAGCCACCUCGAGUCAACCGCUGUUUGCUUUUGAAUGGAGAGAUCUGGAGGACGGAUUGAAUGGUCAACUAACAUGGACCAGGUUGCCUCAGGGAUUCAAGAACUCACCAACCAUCUUCGACAAGGCCUUCCACGAAGAUCUGAGUGAGUACUGGUGUUUCCACCCAGAGGUGAGCCUGCUUCAAUAUGUAGAUGAUUUACUAAUAGCUGCGCGGACAGAAACAGAAUGUCAGGCAGCCACUAAAGAUUUACUUAUGACACUGGGAAAACAAGGGUACCGAGCAUCUGCUAAAAAAGCUCAACUCUGUUUAGAAGAAGUCACCUACUUGGGAUACAAACUCAAGGGGGGACACCAGUGGCUAUCCCAGGCCAGAAAAGAGACUAUUUUCCAGCUACCAAGGCCAGACUGUAGACGGGCUGUCAGAGAAUUCUUGGGAACAGCAGGGUUCUGCCACCUCUGGAUUCCUGGCUUCACCGAACUAGCUAAGCCCUUAUAUGAAGCCACCUGAGGACAGGAACCUUCCUUUGCGUGGACACCUGAGAUGGAAGAAGCUUUUGUCAAAAUCAGAGAGGCUCUCCUGCAGGCCCCAGCCCUAGCCCUCCCAGAUGUUUCCAAGCCCUUCCACCUGUAUGUAGAUGAAUGGAAGGGAGUGGCAAAAGGAGUUCUCACCCAGAAGCUGGGCCCCUGGGUGAGACCAGUGGCUUCUCUAUCAAAGAAAUUCGACCCAGUGGCCAGCGGAUGGCCACCAUGCCUCCGCAUCAUAGCCACCACUGCACUCCUUGUUAAAGAUGCAGACAAGUUGACACUGGGCCAGACUCUUGUGGUCAUGACACCCCAUGCCAUCGUGGGAGUCUUAAAAUGCUCUCCUGACUGAUGGCUGUCAAAUUCGUGUGUCACCCACUAUCAAGCUGUGCUCCUUAAUCCGUCUCAUAUCCGCUUUACUGCUAGCAAAGCAUUGAAUCCAGCCACCCAGUUACCAGAUCCAAAUCUAGAUUCGCCCUCACACGAGUGCGAGGAGAUCCUCAGCCACCUACAGGGAACACGCCCAGAUCUGGGAGAUGUUCCCUUGUUGGAUCCCGAUACUACCUGGUUCAUGGACAGAAGCAGCUUCAUCAAAGAUGGGGUAAGAUAUGCAGGAACAGCAGUGACUACAGAGAUGGAAGUCGUAUGGGCAUCCCCCCUACCCUCAGGAACAUCAGCUCAAAAAGCAGAACUGAUAGCCCUCACCAAAGCUCUUCAAUUGGCAAAAGCUUUGUUUCAGGUCCAAGAAGUCUUACAUCAGAACUUACAGGCAGUGUACUACAAGCCUCCCCCGGAGCCCCACAAUUUCCAACCUGGAGACUUGGUACUGAUCAAAAGACAUCAAAAAGAAACCUUAGAGCCACGUGGGAAAGGACCUCACACAGUCAUCCUAGCAACUCCCACGGCGAUCAAAGUUGACAGGAUAGCAGCGUGGAUCCAUCACACUCAGGUCAAGGCCGCUCCUAGAGAUCAAGAGUCUACAUGGACAAUUCGAGCCCAUCCGACUGACCCUCUGAGAGUAAAAAUUAUCCGACAUGUGGCCAUUUCUGGUUCUCUAGGCCUUAGCCCCGGAACUAAUGGUGGCCGAAAGUCCCCACUUCCCAAGGAAACUUGAGUGGAUCAUCAUCAAGUCCGAGACUGGAGACAUUAUCAACUCUACAGAACAAGAAGGACACCCUAAGUCAUGGUUCCCCACUCUGUACUUUGAUGUUUGUAAGUUGUAUGGGACAAACUGGGGCUUAAGAGGGGACCCCAAGUAUCCACGCCCAACCCAAGGGAUAGGGGGUAGGACCCCAGGGUACCGAGACCUGACACGUCAACACAAUUUCUAUGUCUGUCCCAGACAUAGCUGAAGUCAGUCUCAGCAGGCUAAAUGUGGGGGCCCAGAACACUUCUCUGUGCCAUCUGGGGCUGUGAGUCUAUGGGUAAGAUAGAUUGGAGACCCUCUGUACAAGGUGAUUGGAUACAAGUUAGCCAGUCUGAGGGGCCUUCCUGCUGGAGUAACCCAAACUAACCCGAUCCGCAUUCGCUUCACCUCCAUAGGAAAAACUAAGUGGGAAGAAUGAAAGUUGGGGAGAAUGUGGGGCCUUUGCUAUUAUGCAAAGGGAGCAGACCCCAGAGCUCUUUUUAUGAUUAUGCUCCAGGAGGCCCCACUCUUGAAUAAACUACCAGUCAUCUGGGGACCGAACCCAGUGCCUCCUCCUCCCCCACUCCCAGAGGAACCUCAGCCUCCUCCUCCACUCCUCGAGAAACCUCAGAAAUCUACCACAAGACCUACCUACCCUUCACCUAGGACAGAUCCAGGGUCAGAUUCAAAGCUACACCACUUAACCCCCUCCCCGUCCCUAACUGGACCCAGUCCCUUCCGCCUAGUAAAGGCCACUUAUCAGGUAUUAAAUAUUUCAAAGCCAGAAGUAACCCAGUUCUGCUGGCUUUGCCUAGACUCCAAACCCCCUUUCUAUAAUGGCAUUGCUCUAGUAGCCAAUUUGUCUACUGAGACAGACUCUUCCAAAUGCUGGUGGUCCCAAAGGAGUUUUGAGCGUGCUCCUAGAGUUACCCUAUAGGCCCUCACAGGGCAAGGACUUUGUGUUGCCACCAACUGACAGCUUCCUUACCCUCACUUAUGUAGCCAGACCCUAAUGUUACUUCCAAGAUCCAAUCAUACCUAGUAGCCCCUCCCAACACUUGGUGGGCCUGUAAAACGGGAAUAACCACUUGUAUCCAUGCUGACACCCUUAGAACUCAUGAUGAUGUCUGCAUUCUCAUGCAACUCAUCCCCUGGAUAGUAGUGCACGGUGAAGAAGAAAUAAUUGAUAGCUAUUCCCUAAUUCAAAAGAGUCUAAGCGGGCAAAAAUGAGAAAUUAUUUCCACCAUAGUAGUCUCUGCCAUUUUGGGGGCUGGGCUGGCCAGUGCUGGUACAGGCAUAGCAUCUCUAGUCCUCCAAGAUAAAAAUUACAAAGCCCUCAGUGAUGCUAUGGACCACUAUUUCCAAACAGUAGAACUUACUCUAGCCCAGCUAGAAGAGUCUUCGUCCUCCCUAGCAGAGGUUGUACUACAAAGUAGAAGGGAACUUGACUUACUGCUCUUGCAAAAAGGAGGACUAUGUGUGGCCUUAGGAGAACAGUGUUGCUUCUAUACCAACCACUCAGGUGUAAUUCAAAAUUCUUUGACUGAACUAAAAACUAGGAUUCAAAACAGGCAGAGAAAUAGAGCAGCCACCCAAAACUGGUAUGAAAGCCUUUUCAGUUGGUCCCCAUGGCUAACAACUUUGUUAUCAGCAGUAGCAGGUCCCCUCUUACUUCUGAUACUGGUUCUUACAUGUGACCCCUGCCUUAUCAAUUCCCUCCCCAAAUUUGUACAGAAAUGGAUCUCCACGGUCCAGCUCAUGGUCCUUAGAUCUCAGUACAGGCCCUUGAGUAAGGAAGACCCUAUUCCGUUACUUCAAAGAUUUGAAAUAGAACAAAACUUAAGGGGGGAAUGAGGAGUCCUGACUAAAGAGUUUUGACAUAAGCUACUCCAUUUUAUAAGUAACUUUAUUUUGUAAGAGACAGGUCACAUCAAGAAGAAGUUACAAGAGUUACAAAAAAUUUAACCAACACAGUUACCAAAACUGGCCAGAUGCUCCCAGCCAAAAGAAAUAAGACAGCUCGCCCACCCGGCAGUCAAGAUUCAGUAAAGGUCAGGUCAUAUCUAGGCCCGCUAGGCCCGCUCUGCACACGGCCCACUCUGUGCACAGCCCACUCUGCGCAUGGCCUGCUCUGCACAUGACCCCAUUCCUGUGUAUAAAAGGAGAAUGAACUUGUACUUUGGGGUCUCCACCUGCGAGUGUGAGACCCCAGCAUGCUGGCUACCCAAUAAAUGCUCUUG